rnacentral:misc_RNA from 1 species
AAGUCGCAACAAGGCAGGUGUACGAGAACGUGCGCCUGGAUCACCUCCUUUCUAAGGAGCCGAUCGAAGAAACCGCUUACCGCAAGUCGGUCAGUUGGCUUUCUUCUAACGAAAUGUUUUUGAUAAUAGUGUACAAACCCAGAUCAACUAUCUGCUUAGCAAUAAGCGAGUGGUUGCUUCUGGCAGCAAUGAACGACAAUUAACGGUUCGAAUCCCGCUUGAAAUUCUAGAGGCUUAUCCUCAAGACCUUGUUUUUAUGCUCGACCGGACAUCCGCGUAAGCGGUGUCUCGGGACUCACUCCAACGAUUUCUUCGUCCACCCUCAAAUCCGUAGCAAUACGGAACAGGGUUUAGCAGCAUCAGCUCAAAACGACGGAAUCUUUCCCUUCAACCGGAAAUAUUCCCGAGUUUUUAGCUCCCCUACCUUGACAAUAGAAUAAGGAACGCAAAUAGGACAUCGAAAAUUAUAUGUCCGUCCGAAAGAAAUAUUUCAUAGAAUACGGAUACUCCUUUCUGACAGCAAUGUCAGCAGUGAGUGUCCAGAGACAAAGAAAUGAAGGAGUACGAGCUUGAAUUUAUUCUUGACCGUAUUCCGAGGUUAGUAGAUCUAACAAAAAUCAAAUCAUUCAUCG